rnacentral:rRNA from 1 species
UGAGCAAUCUGCCCUUCACAUCGGAAUAACCAUUGGAAACGAUGGCUAAUACCGAAUAUGACUUCGGAUCGCAUGAUCUGAAGUGGAAAGCUCCGGCGGUGAAGGAUGAGCUCGCGGCCUAUCAGCUUGUUGGUGAGGUAACGGCUCACCAAGGCUUCGACGGGUAGCCGGCCUGAGAGGGUGACCGGCCACACUGGGACUGAGACACGGCCCAGAUCCCGUAACGGGG